GAUGGGAAGGUCUACUGGAGGCGACCCAGCUGCACGAGGGUUGCUCAGGUGAUUGCCGGAUCAGAUCAAGAUAAGCAGCGGCCUCUUCUCACAGAAGGAAGAUUCGAGUCUACGGGAACUUUAUCAGUUUGUUGAGUACCACUCAACUAAGAAGCAGAAAAAGGUUAAUCGUCUUCUGAAAAAAAAAAUGAUCGUUGGUGUUCAUGUGAUAAAUGAAUGAUGGUUUUCUUUGUUAUGUGCAGAUAUCAUCACCAAAAGUAUUUGCACCUAAGGCGGUAGCCCAAAAUGAGCAAAUGAUUAAAGCAUAAUGACUUGAAGAGCGUGCUACUCAAGUUCACACAAAUGUAGAUAUUACACAACAGGUAAUAUGGGAAAUGUAAUAAGUAAGCUAAUAAAAAGUUCAGAGACUUGUGCAUAGCUUUUAAUAGGACAAAUUAUUUUUCUAUCAAGCUUUGCCCAGAAGAAGGAACUUCAAUGGCAAUAGAAAAUCAGGCUACAUUGAAUGUUGACAUACAAACAGAGGUUGCCCCAGAAGAUUGCCUGGAUCUUGUUGUUUGUGAUGUCAAUUGUGAUAAUUGUCAAAAGUUAAGAGUGACAAAAGUGUAAUGCCAAAAUCUAGUGGCAUAAGAAAAAUUGGCAAAAUUUAGAGUGACAAAAACAAAAUUUUAACAAAACGGAGAAGACUGUGGAACAAGCUACAAGUGAUGCUGAGUAUAUGAACUUUA